UGAAUCACCACUGUGCCUGUAUC
rnacentral:piRNA from 1 species